rnacentral:rRNA from 1 species
UGGUAGUCCACGCCCUAAACGAUGGAUACUCGACAUCAGCGAUACACUGUUGGUGUCUGAGCGAAAGCAUUAAGUAUCCCACCUGGGAAGUACGACCGCAAGGUUGAAACUCAAAGGAAUUGGCGGGGGUCCGCACAAGCGGUGGAGCAUGUGAUUUAAUUCGAUGAUACGCGAGGAACCUUACCUGGGCUAGAAUGUCAGUGGACUGUGGGUGAAAGCUCACUUUGUAGCAAUACACCGCUGAUAAGGUGCUGCAUGGCUGUCGUCAGCUCGUGCCGUGAGGUGUUGGGUUAAGUCCCGCAACGAGCGCAACCCCCAUCACUAGUUGCCAUCAGGUAAUGCUGGGAACUCUAGUGAAACUGCCGUCGUAAGACGCGAGGAAGGAGGGGAUGAUGUCAAGUCAUCAUGGCCUUUAUGCCCAGGGCUACACACGUGCUACAAUGGAGAGGACAAAGGGCUGCCACUUGGCGACAAGGAGCUAAUCCCAAAAACCUCUUCUCAGUUCAGAUUGCAGUCUGCAACUCGACUGCAUGAAGCUGGAAUCGCUAGUAAUCGUAUAUCAGCAAUGAUACGGUGAAUACGUUCCCGGACCUUGCACACACCGCCCGUC